GUGUCUCCACACCGUAGACUCAAGACACAUCUACCCUAAGGAAGUGAUCGUACACCAACCUUCCGAAUCGAUCACCAUCCUCGUGAUGAUCCUAUGGUCAGGAGCUGUUUAUGAGUUAGUUAUGUAAAUUCAUGCCUUAAUUUUUUAACUCUUGAAAAUAUGAAUUUACAUUCCUACUAACUCAAAGGAUGUAUCACAGACACAAUAUAUACAAUGUGAUAGAAGAAUAAUCUUUUUAUUCAUUUAUAGUUAAAAUUAUAAAUUUGCCCUUAGAUCUGUACAGGAAUGUGUCAGUCGAUCUGGCAUCUAGGGCACAUCCAACAGGAUCUUCUAGAUCUAAUGAGAUCUGGGGUGAAAUAUUUUAAAAAAAUUAUCCUAUGAUAUUUCAGAUCUAAGAUCUAUUAGAUCUAAUUUUUAUUAUCUGAUAUUAAAUCUAAAAUUAAAUUUGAAAAUAUGAGGAAUAGAGAAAUACCUCUAGGGUAAACAUUGGAUCCAAGCUUACAUGUCUUUAAACAUUUGACAUAAGCCAGAUAUCUCCAACUCUUAAGGUGUGAGAGUACUAGCUUCUGCCUUGUCCAUAUCUUAUAUGGAGUUUUAUUGACAGACU
rnacentral:lncRNA from 1 species